AUGCACGUACGAUUGGCGUAUAAAAGUCCGCCACCCCAAGAGCAUGAGCAUCAAUCGAUCUUCGAUCUUCGAGCUCUCCUAAGCUUUCCCAAGCGAUUCUCUCUCAACUCAGCCUGCAAACAUGAAGUGCUUAGCCGUUAUCGCUCUUUUCGCCCUGGUGGCCGCCGCGGCUCUCGCGGAGGCGAAACCCACCGAGGUAGAGUCCAUCGAACCGGCACAGGCCGAGCCCAUCUCGCCGGAAGCGGCUAGGAACAAGCGAGGGUUGCUGCUCAGUGCGGCUUACACGGCUCCGAUCGCUUACAGCGCAUACACCGCCCCGGCCGUUGCUUACUCCGCAUACAGCUACCCCUACGCGUACGCGGCCUAUUCCAGCUACCCCUAUUACGCCGCGGCCUACAGAUCCUAUUACGUGGCCUAGAUACGCCGAGCAACCACAUAAGCCCGGGGGAACACGCGAAACUAUUCGACCAGUCACAGCCUCUGAUUUUACAACCCGACUGCACGACGACAUCACUCGUGACGCGACCACGUAAGAUAAUUCAUCAAAAAAAAGCAUGUCAAAAAUGAGGUCAUCUGGAUUUAUUUUCGUCAAGUAUUCAAAUUAUUACUUUUUUUCUUUACUAUCUAUUAAUAUUAUUAUUCAACAAAACCGCGAAAUAUAUUAGCCGUUAUUUAUUUGAUUACUGAAAGAGAGAUAUUGUUUUAUAAGAUACUUGACUCUUGAAUAUGGUCUGUCAAAAUUUGAAAAUAUUAUCGUCCUUCUCUUUGCAAAAUUAUUCGAGAUUAAUUAUUACAAUUGCAUCAUGAUUUAAAUAACCAUUUGUAUGCACGAUAGAGCUUUUAAAAGAAUCGCGCGAGAUAAACAGGAAACGAACCAUGUUAAGAACUGAUUGUGAGUCUUAUCCGGUUACAGUAUCUUAUUGCGUAAGAGAUUGCUAAUAGAUAUAUAUAAUACCUCUUGCAGUUGUAUCUAUAUUAUUCACUUUAGAUAAAAUGUAUACAUUUGUAUAUCUAAAGUACGCUUAUUACAUUAUUACACAUAUGUACAGCAAGUCUCUCUUAUCAAAUAGCUUACAAUUUAUGUAAAGACAAAACGGACCAUCCACCAUCUGAAUUUAUACAUUUGCAACGUGAUACUAUGAUUUAUGAUUAUCUAUUCUCUGAAAUGUUAAAAAAGACAUUAACGAAGCGUUAUCGAGAAUGUCUCUUUGUGUACAUAUUAUAUUUACGAAUCACAUAAUUCAUUGAAAACAUUUCGGUUAUAUUAUCAUGUUAUAUAUACAUUCUAUUAACUCGUCUAAAUGUCUGUGUGAAUCUGAAUUUUCCUGAAGAAAUUAUUCGCAGCGUGAUUUUUUGCAUGAUUGCCAUCGUAUAAAAUAUUAACAAAAAAAAUUGACGAAACGUUGCUAAUUUUUCUUCGUGUAUGUGUAUCUUACGUAAGAUAUUAUUCGCUAUUUAUGAAUCCAUAUGUAAUCCACUCUAGAAAAAAUAUAAUCCAAUGCAAUGAGA